GGAAGUUCUCGUGUUGCACCCAUUUUUUUUUCAGAUGUGCCGUUCGACGUUACGCGCGACUUUAAUUAUGGUCCGCAGAUUUAUUCGCAAAUGUGAGUCACGGCGCCGUGGCAUUUUACUUGAUAUUUGAACAAGAACGAGAGGUGCAGUGCGCACGCACAAGGAAACAAAUGACGGGAGGGGGAAGAAAGGGAAAUGAGUUUAUGU
rnacentral:lncRNA from 1 species